rnacentral:misc_RNA from 1 species
GAGGUUUCAAAUGCCACACUCCAAAUAAUCCUGCAAUAUGCUUCCCUGUUCAUAAGAUUUAGAACUAGAAAAAAAGUUCCCUUAAUUUCAUUUCCUGGAUCACAAAGUAUGAUUGUUAAAUCAAGCAUUUAGUACAAGCAUCAUAUAUGUCAACAAUCAUUUUCACAAAUUUUGACAGGAACUAUUAUAACACCUCCUCAACAGGAAAUUGCGCACACAGCUAUUGGAGUU